CUACGCACUCCUACGGGAGGCAGCAGUGGGGAAUAUUGCACAAUGGGCGCAAGCCUGAUGCAGCCAUGCCGCGUGUAUGAAGAAGGUCCUUCGGGUUGUAAAGUACUUUCAGCAGUGAGGAAGGUGGGUAUGUUAAUAGCAUACUCAUUUGACGUUAGCUGCAGAAGAAGCACCGGCUAACUCCGUGCCGGCAGCCGCGGUAAUACGGAGGGUGCGAGCGUUAAUCGGAAUUACUGGGCGUAAAGCGCAUGCAGGUGGUUUGUUAAGUCAGAUGUGAAAGCCCGGGGCUCAACCUCGGAAUUGCAUUUGAAACUGGCAAACUAGAGUACUGUAGAGGGGGUAGAAUUUCAGGUGUAGCGGUGAAAUGCGUAGAGAUCUGAAGGAAUACCGGUGGCGAAGGCGGCCCCCUGGACAGAUACUGACACUCAGAUGCGAAAGCGUGGGGAGCAAACAGGAUUAGAUACCCUGGUAG
rnacentral:rRNA from 1 species